GACAGAGGGGGCAAGCGUUGCUCGGAAUCACUGGGCGUAAAGGGCGCGUAGGCGGGAUGGCAAGUCGGUCGUGAAAUCCUUCGGCUCAACCGAAGAACGUCGGCCGAUACUGCCGUUCUUGAGGGAUGCAGAGGAGAUUGGAAUUCCCGGUGUAGCGGUGAAAUGUGUAGAGAUCGGGAGGAACCCCGGUGGCGAAGGCGGGUCUCUGGGCAUCUCCUGACGCUGAGGCGCGAAAGCGUGGGGAGCAAACGGG
rnacentral:rRNA from 1 species